rnacentral:rRNA from 1 species
UACGUAGGGGGGCAAGCGUUGUCCGGAAUCAUUGGGCGUAAAGAGCGUGUAGGCGGCCCGGUAAGUCCGCUGUGAAAGUCCAGGGCUCAACCCUGGGAUGCCGGUGGAUACUGUCGGGCUCGAGUCCGGAAGAGGAGUGUGGAAUUCCUGGUGUAGCGGUGAAAUGCGCAGAUAUCAGGAGGAACACCAAUGGCGAAGGCAGCACUCUGGGUCGCAACUGACGCUGAGGAGCGAAAGCAUGGGGAGCGAACAGG